rnacentral:rRNA from 1 species
UACGAAGGGGCUAGCUUUGUUCGGAAUCACUGGGCGUAAAGCGCACGCAGGCGGAUCGAUAAGUCGGGGGUGAAAGCCCGGGGCUCAACCUCUGAAUUGCCUUCGAUACUGUCGGUCUCGAGUCCGGGAGAGGUGAGUGGAAUUCCUAGUGUAGAGGUGAAAUUCGUAGAUAUUAGGAAGAACACCAGUGGCGAAGGCGGCUCACUGGCCCGGUACUGACGCUCAGGUGCGAAAGCGUGGGGAGCAAACAGG